GUGCUCGCUUCGGCAGCACAUAUACUAAAAUUGGAACGAUACAGAGAAGAUUAGCAUGGGCCCUGUGCAAGGAUGACGCGCAAAUUCUUGAAGUGUUCCAUAUAUUU
ensembl:snRNA Gm23264 U6 spliceosomal RNA